GAUGAAGAACGUAGCGAAAUGCGAAAAGUAAUGUGAAUUGCAGAAUUCCGUGAAUCAUCGAAUCUUUGAACGCACAUUGCGCCCCCUGGUAUUCCGGGGGGCAUGCCUGUCCGAGCGUCAUUGCAACCUUCAAGCGCGGCUUGUGUGUUGGGUCUCGUCCCCCGUGGACGGGCCCGAAAGGCAGUGGCGGCGUCCCGACAUGGUGCCCGAGCGUAUGGGAAUCCUCUUCCGCUCGAAUCGGCCCAUGCGGCGCUGGUCGUAACCAAAUUUUUUACCGGUUGACCUCGGAUCAGGUAGGGAUACCCGCUGAACUUAAGCAUAUCAAUAAGCGGAGGA
rnacentral:misc_RNA from 1 species